rnacentral:lncRNA from 1 species
AUUGAAUGAAAUGAUUUCGAAAGUCACCUAAAUGAACCGAAGAAAUACCCAACCAAUGCCACACAUGAGCCCAAAGCGAACUGAAUAUGUCACAACCUAAAAACAGAUGAGUUACGGUUUCUGGGUCCCCACACCCAAACACACAAGCCGAAUCAUGUAACUGAAGGAUAUACCGUCGCACCAAACUGUCAAUAGUAGGAAGUCUGUUGCAAAGGAGGCGCCACACAAACAGAGACACCUUUGAUGGAAUAUGCUUAUGCCAGACGUCAUCAACAAGAGUCAUAUCCACUAGUUCACCGUUGUUAGUAAGAAAGCGAUAUGCUUCCCGCACCAUAUAGCCAUGAGUAGGAUCGAACAACCACCUCCAAGUAUCAUGAACAAUAUCCUGCAAAACAACGUUAUGAAAUAACACAGAGCACUCCCUCACACUCUCCUCCUCCCAAGCCAAAAACGUGAGCCGCCACACCCACCCCCUUCCACCAUCCUCCCACCCUAACCUCCACAUAUCCUCCACUGAACACUCCUUACUGACAGCCAGAUCAAAAAGGCGGGGAAAUUUAAUCCGCAAAGGAAUUUCCCCUACCCAAUUAUCAUGCCAAAAUGAAGUAUUCCUAUCAUCACCGACUACCCGACGGAUGUUAUCAUCAAACCAUCUACUAACAGCCUCACCCAACCCGUCACAGAUCCUACACACCGAACGUUGCGAAGGAGAACAAUGGCUGCCCCCUCCUCACCGUAACGAACUUUCAGAACUCGGUACCAUAACCCCUCCUUGUCGAUCAUCAUCCUCCAACACCACUUUUCCAACAAUGAAAGAUUAAAGUCUCCCACCCGCCUAACCCCAAACCACCAUCCUCCUUUGGAGUACAAAUCGAAUCCCAAUUUAUCUAGGCAAUUUUCCUAAUAUCCUCACCCCCAUCCCAAAAAAAAAAUUAAAAUAGAUUCAAUAAAAGAAAUUAUACCUGCAGGAGCUUUGAAAAAGGAAAGAAAGUAAACCGAAAUAGAGG